rnacentral:rRNA from 1 species
CCUACGGGUGGCUGCAGUGGGGAAUAUUGGACAAUGGGCGAAAGCCUGAUCCAGCCAUGCCGCGUGUGUGAAGAAGGCCUUCGGGUUGUAAAGCACUUUCAGUGGGGAAGAAAGCCUUGGGGCUAAUACCCUCGAGGAAGGACAUCACCCACAGAAGAAGCACCGGCUAACUCCGUGCCAGCAGCCGCGGUAAUACGGAGGGUGCGAGCGUUAAUCGGAAUUACUGGGCGUAAAGCGCGCGUAGGCGGUCUGAUAAGCCGGUUGUGAAAGCCCCGGGCUCAACCUGGGAACGGCAUCCGGAACUGUCAGGCUAGAGUGCAGGAGAGGAAGGUAGAAUUCCCGGUGUAGCGGUGAAAUGCGUAGAGAUCGGGAAGAAUACCAGUGGCGAAGGCGGCCUUCUGGACUGACACUGACGCUGAGGUGCGAAAGCGUGGGUAGCAAACAGGAUUAGAUACCCGAGUAGUC